CAGAGUUCAUGCCCUUCGGGGUAGACCUCCCACCCUAUGUAUACAUUACCUUUGUUGCUUUGGCGGGCCGCCAUUUGGCCACCGGCCCCGGCUGGUGCGCGCCCGCCAGAGACCCCACAAACCCUGUCUUACAGUGUCGUCCGAGUACUAUAUAAUAGUUA
rnacentral:misc_RNA from 1 species